UUUCCUCCUCCCCUCAACUCUCUGUGUACUUUGAAUCUUGUAUAAUAUCCUGAUAUAAGAGAUGGAAAAUCCUGAAAAGGAAGAACCAGACAGAAACCAUAGAGAUUUAGUCAUCAGAACUAAAUUUAAAAAAUAAAAUGCUAUUUGCUGUUUAGUGGGCAAAUAUUAGUGCUGGUGUUUCUUAGUGUACCUCUGUAGCUUCUUUGGUUUGUAAAGUGGAUUUGGGCUGGUUACGUGUCCUUCAACUUAGCCACACAUACGACAGUAGAAAAGACACGAAGCUUCACUUCCAAUACCAUUCUUCCUAGAAAUUUCCCAAAACAAUGAUCUGAUGUUUGCCUAUUUCCCAAAGCUCCUCCCUGCAAAAUUUUCUUGCAGAUUUUGGGUUACCUACGUGGAAUUCAAAUUAUCCACACCGACAAUGAAGAAGAAAACAAAUUUUAUCCCUUCGAACAGAAGGGGAUUUUGUUUUCCAUGCCAUGUGUUCGUAUAGCAUGAUUUCUCACAAGAUAUAUAUAUAUGUUCUGGAUGGGCUUACUGUUACCCUGUUCUUCCCACCACUGUCGGCAUUGGUGCUGCAAGAAAAUUGAUCCCGUGUGCUGGAAAAGAAAUCUGCAGAGUGUGCCGAAUUAGUAUCCAAUUGAUGACUUCCAUGUCAUUUGGCUACAGAGCUUUCUGUGGCAAUAUCCAGCAGCAAAAUGAACAACACUGUGAAUAGGAAAUAGAGGAAAUUAAGAGGGGAAUCAAGUCUGGUAACAUUACACCAGAUGCUUCAAAUAUCAGAUUCUCAGAUAAGGUACUUGAUGAGCAAAAGUAUGCCAUCAAGAUUUCUGAUGAGAAGGUGGCUUUGGCUGUUCCAGCAUAUGAGUUGGUAGAUGCUCAAGUUCAACAACUUGAUCAAUAUCUGAAAAAAUUUGAUGAAGAGCUUCAAUGUGAAAGAGAAAGUGCUGCUACAACUGGGUCAGCUGCUCAAAAUCUCAAAAAUAAUGUUAAAGCUACCAGUGGCAGAGGAAGGUGUAAGACGUAUUGCUAAAGGAGACUAUGGGCUUUGACCCUUUGAUAUCAAUUUUGAAGCUUAGAGGAAGUAGCUACAGUUUCACCCAACAGAAGACGAUAAACCUUCUCAGUGCUUUAGAGACCGUCGGUUUGCUAAUAAUGGGAGGUCCAGAAAUUGACACUGGAAAGAUGUCAAUAGGCUGACCAAUAAAGUAGUCUUGGUUCAGGUUUGUUUCAAAAUAAGUUAUCUGCUAUAAUGAAUACCUUUAUAAUUUUGUAAGAUUUCUCUCACUAGUCUAUGUAUAUUAUUGGUUGUAGAAAAAAGUUUUUGACCAUCUUUUAAUGCUACGAGUAGAAAGCCAAUGGGCUCCUGUUCCUGUGCGAUGUAUGGUACGAUAACAUUCUUUUUCUUCUUGUGGGUGUGUGUGUUUUAAAGAAUACCCUUACAACGAGAUAUCAUAAGGAACACCCUCUUGGAUGCUAGGUUACUUAAAUUACUUGUACGUUUUAUUGGUGAUGCAGAUUGUGCAAUCUGAGUUGUGUCACUCGUUUCAAAGAAUGUUAAAAGCUGGUGAUUAUUACAUCUCCAUUUCUUGUUCUAUAAUGUUCUAUAAUAUUUAAUGGAAAGCGAGAAUAUAAUUGAUAGACCAUUAGUAAAUACAAAGUCCCUUCUGAAGAUGUGUUUCACCAAAUACUCUUUUUCCUGGUUGAGGGAAAACAAACAUGGACUUGGAUAUAGCUUGUGCCAUUCCAAUAGAGUAUUGCAAGUGAGUCUAUCCUGUUAAAUGACACUGUGUAAAGCUGUAAAGUAAAUGGUACAUCUAUGAAAUACCCAUCCUGUAUGGCAAUGAUUGAUGUUCCUAGGAAUUUUGCUUUGAUAAAUAGGUAAAAAAAUGAGAGUCUUCUCUUA